UCCCCGAUAGCUCAAUUGGUAGAGCGAGCGGCUGUUAACCGCUAGGUCGUAGGUUCGAAUCCUACUCGGGGAG
rnacentral:tRNA from 2 species